rnacentral:rRNA from 1 species
GACGAACGCUGGCGGCGUGCUUAACACAUGCAAGUCGAACGAUGAAGCCGGAGCUUGCUCUGGUGAAUUAGUGGCGAACGGGUGAGUAACACGUGAGUAACCUGCCCUUGACUCUGGGAUAACUGCGGGAAACUGUAGCUAAUACCGGAUACGACCCUCGGAGGCAUCUCCUGGGGGUGGAAAGAAUUUCGGUCAAGGAUGGACUCGCGGCCUAUCAGCUAGUUGGUGAGGUAAAGGCUCACCAAGGCGACGACGGGUAGCCGGCCUGAGAGGGUGACCGGCCACACUGGGACUGAGACACGGCCGAGACUCCUACGGGAGGCAGGAGUGGGGAGUAUGGCACAAUGGGCGCAAGCCUGAUGCGGCAACGCCGCGUGAGGGAUGACGGCCUUCGGGUUGUAAACCUCUUUUAGCAGGGAAGAAGCGAAAGUGACGGUACCUGCAGAAAAAGCACCGGCUAACUACGUGCCAGCAGCCGCCGUAA